CUCCUCUGGCUAUUUUGCCAGUGCCAUCCUGGUCCAUAAACGCUUGAUUGGGGUGCCUGUUUUUCCCCCCUCAUUUAAUUAGUUGCCUGCUGGUGGCUUGUGAAUUUAAUUUUGGAGAUUCUUAUUUUGAGGGUACAAGAGUUUGGCUCAAAGCACCUAUAAAGAAAUUUAACAUGCAAAAAGGGCUUACACUCGAUUUUCAAAUGACUUACACACUCAUAAAAUGUCCAGG